AAGCAUAAAACAAAAGAAAAAGAUUUGGCGUGUUUUUGUUUCGAUAGCCCUCAUUAAGAUCCUGUUUGACAGGAACAACAAAGCACACACUCACACUCACACCGCUGAUUCAUAAAAAACCUAGAGUUCAAAAAAAAUCAAAUCAAAUCAAAUCAGAAUGUUAGCAAUCAAGAGCAAUUGUUGUUCUUGGUUUAUUAUUUUUGUUUUUCGAUUAUUAAUAUUCAAACAAUUCAAGAGCAAUCUUGAAUCUUUUCAAAUCCUUAUAGAUUUUUUUUAUUUUUAUCAAGAUAGAUUCAAAAUUUGUUCAAGAUCGAAUCCUUAUGCCUUCUCAUUACGGCUUUUUGGUUCAAGAGAGAGAGGUAUAAAGAUAGAGUCCAAAUUGAUUCUUUGGCGAAACCCUAAUUUCUUUUUCUUCUUCUUCUUCUUCCUCUCUAGCGGGUUCUGCGAUUUUUAGGGUUUGUGAAGCAAUGAGAAAAGUUUCGAUCUUUGAUUGGUUUUCGUCGAUGGAGGGCGAGGCCGGUUCGGAGGGAGACAAUAAGCGGAAAAGGGGUGGCGCAGAUGAUAACAGCAACGACAAUAAUGGAAGCAAUAGCAAGAUUGCGAAUUCCAAUGAGGGGCAGAGCAAGCCCAAGCGCCAGAUGAAGACCCCCUUUCAGCUUCAAAAUCUCGAGAAAGCUUAUGCUUUGGAUACUUAUCCUUCGGAGGCGAUGAGAUUAGAGUUGUCGGAAAAGUUGGGGUUGUCGGAUUGGCAACUGCAGAUGUGGUUCUGUCAUAGGAGGUUGAAGGAGUUUCCUCCCAAGAAACGGCUGCGGAAGGUGGCAGCAGAACCUUUGCCAGAUUCCCCCACAGAUGACAUGAGGUUGGACCCUGAAAUUGGCAAUGAGUAUGGAUCCGGGUCGGGUUCGGAGGGAGACAAUAAGCGGAAAAGGGGUGGCGCAGAUGAUAACAGCAACGACAAUAAUGGAAGCAAUAGCAAGAUUGCGAAUUCCAAUGCGGGGCAGAGCAAGCCCAAGCGCCAGAUGAAGACCCCCUUUCAGCUUCAAAAUCUCGAGAAAGCUUAUGCUUUGGAUAUUUAUCCUUCGGAGGCGAUGAGAUUAGAGUUGUCGGAAAAGUUGGGGUUGUCGGAUUGGCAACUGCAGAUGUGGUUGAAGGAGUUGCCUCUCAAGAAACGGCUGCGGAAGGUGGCAGCAGAGCCUUUGCCAGAUUCCCCCACAGAUGACAUGAGGUUGGACCCUGAACUUGGCAAUGAGUAUGGAUCCGGGUCGGGUUCGGGGUCCAGCGCGCUUACCCGUUCUGAGUCCCGGAAUGCGAUGCCCCAGGGCUUGCCGGGUUAUUAUGAGUCCCCUCAGGCUGGAAUGGAGCGUAGAGCAAUUGCUUCUGUGGAGGCACAGUUAGGGGAGCCGUUGAGGGAAGAUGGACCCAUUCUAGGAGUAGAGUUUGACCCAUUGCCACCAGAUGCAUUUGGGGCACCCGUAGAGUGAAGAGAGAAUGAAGAAAGAGAUGGAGAGACAAGAUCGUGAAAGGAGGAAGGAAGAAGAGAGGUUGAUGCGUGAGAGACAACGUGAAGAGGAAAGAACAAAAUGUGAGCAAAAACUUGAAAUUGAACGAAGGGAAAAGCAUUUGCUGAAGGAAAAUUUAAGAGUAAAUUUGUAAGCCUAAUGAUGAUAGCCUUCUUUUGGCUAAUAUUUAGACAUCUGAUGAUUUUUUUUUUCUUUUGGUAUAUUGAGGAUAUUUAAUGUAUUUGCCACAUAUUCUAUCUUAAAAGGGCUCAGAAAUUGAGGCAAAAAGAAGAGCUUCGCAAAGAAAAAGAGGCAGAGAGAAGGAAAGCUGCCCUUGAGAAGGCAACUGCCCGUAGAAUAAGCUUCCUUCAAGAUAUAAUCCCUUCAAAUCUCCUAAAGUGGUUGAACCAGAACCAGCAGAUUCGGACCAUGAUGAUUUAAUGAAAGUUAAAUCUGCUCCUAUGAAAAUUGCACGGAGCAGCAAUAAACGUGGACGAGGGAGUCAUGAUAAAGGACGGGGUAAAAAGCGAUCUAAAAGGGCUGCUGACAUCAGUAACAGUGCUGAAGAGGCUGAAUCUGAUGAUAAUGCUCAAGCAAUGGAAUCUGAUGACAAUGAUCAAGCAGUGGAAUAUGAUCAAGGAAACUGGGAGAUUUGUUUUAACGUUUCCCCCAUCAGAUGGAGUAGGCAUUUGAUUGAUAUGAGUGGUGGAGAUGUGGAAGCUUCUGAAGAUGACAAUGACAAUGGCAUUGAAGAGGAGGAUUCAAAGGCAGAUGUUAUGAGCGAGGGUUCAGAUGGUAUGGCUAGUAGAGUUGUAAAUGGAGCAGGCUCAGACUCGGCUGAUUCUGAAGAUUCUUCUGAUUAGAACAUUGGUUUUUAGUUGAUCAACUAAAGGAUUGCAUUUCAAAGCUGCAUUACAUUUUUGAUAUUGCAGCUUUACAAAGUACCUGAACUCCUAGUCAUGUCAUGGCUUGAAGAGUUUUAUGGUUGAGAAGACUUACAUAGUAUAUUUUAUCCAUGCAGAGUGGAUCCUUGUGUUUUUAAGCAUUUUAAAGCCGAGGGCCUCAUCUCAUUUUGUUUUUUUCCUUGUCAUAGGUAUUCAUUAAUUAAUAGAGUCUUAUACCUUAAUUAUUACUUCAUUGCGCACAAAGUCGAUUACUGAUAUAAUUGUCCAUUUGACUUUCCUUACUCUAUUUACAAUUUAACAAUUC